rfam:Bacillus sp. B-jedd genome assembly, contig: CONTIG000001
CUGAGAAAAAGGCAAACCUGUUGAAAAGCAGGGACGCAAAGCCAAGGGCCCUUCCUUUUAAAAAAAGCAGGGCAGCCGGCUGCCGAA